AACGAACGCUGGCGGCAUGCCUAACACAUGCAAGUCGAACGAGACCUUCGGGUCUAGUGGCGCACGGGUGCGUAACGCGUGGGAACCUGCCCUUAGGUUCGGAAUAACUCCCCGAAAGGGGUGCUAAUACCGGAUAAUGUCUUCGGACCAAAGAUUUAUCGCCUUUGGAUGGGCCCGCGUUGGAUUAGCUAGUUGGUAGGGUAAAAGCCUACCAAGGCGACGAUCCAUAGCUGGUCUGAGAGGAUGAUCAGCCACACUGGGACUGAGACACGGCCCAGACUAGUACGGGAGGCAGCAGUGGGGAAUAGUGGAAAAUGGGCGAAAGGCUGAUACAGCAAUGCCGCGUGAGUGAUGAAGGCCUUAGGGUUGUAAAGCUCUUUUACCCGGGAUGAUAAUGACAGUACCGGGAGAAUAAGCUCCGGCUAACUCCGUG
rnacentral:rRNA from 1 species